UCCUGCCGGACCUUACUGCUAUCGGGGUGGGACUAAGACAUGCGAGUCGAGCGUCUCUAGCUAUGUUGAGACACGGCAUACGGCUCAGUAACACGUGGCUAACCUACCCUCAGGACGAGGACAACCCCGGGAAACUGGGGCUAAUACUCGAUAGGCGAGGAUGCCUGGAAUGGUUUCUCGCUCAAAGGGCUUUGGAAACAUGCUUCCAAAGUCGCCUGGGGAUGGGGCCGCGUCCGAUCAGGUUGUUGGUGAGGUAACGGCUCACCAAGCCUUUAACCGGUACGGGCCGUGAGAGCGGUAGCCCAGAGAUGGGUACUGAGACAAGGACCCAGGCCCUACGGGGCGCAGCAGUCGCGAAAACUCCGCAAUGCACGAAAGUGUGACGGGGCUACCCCGAGUGACAUCCGCUGAGGAUGGCUCUUCCUUGGUGUAACUAGCCGUCGGAAUAASGAGAGGGCAAGUUUGGUGUCAGCCGCCGCGGUAAUACCAGCUCUCUGAGUGGUAGAGAUAUUUAUUGAACUUAAAGCGUCCGUAGCCGGCUUAGCAAGUCUCCUGUUAAAUUCAGCGACCUAAUCGUUGAGCCGCGGGAGAUACUACUAGGCUAGGAGGCGGGAGAGCUCGUCGGUACUUCUGGGGUAGGGGUGAAAUCCUAUAAUCCCGGGAGGACCUCCAGUGGCGAAGGCUGUUGACUAGAACGCGCCUGACGGUGAGGGACGAAAGCUGGGGGAGCAAACCGGAUUAGAUACCCGGGUAGUCCCAGCUGUAAACGAUGCGGGCUAGGUGUUGGGGUGGCUACGUGCCACUUCAGUGCCGCAGGGAAACCGUUAAGCCCGCCGCCUGGGGAAUACGGCCGCAAGGCUGAAACUUAAAGGAAUUGGCGGGAAGGGCGAAUUCG
rnacentral:rRNA from 1 species